ensembl:lncRNA
CGAGUUUCUCUCACCGAGAGAACUGUGAUCUUCACAUUCAGAAGGAAUCCUAAUCCUCCACUGACCAAACAGUGUAGGUGCUUGGUGCUUCACAAGUCAAGGCAGAAAUGUCAUUACACAGCGUGCCAGGGAAAUUCACUUUCCUGUUACUCCUUUGGAAGCUUCCUUCCCUGCAGCUUGUUCGCUUGUUUGCAGCAGCACACCGGCUUAUAUAGCCAAACUGCCCAGCCAGAGCAGGGAGUCACCACUUCCUACUUCUGCAGUGGAAAUGCCAAGUCUCAACCUGAAAAAGUGAUGGGGCACCUGGUGAGAAGGCAGGGCCAACCCCAGGGAGCUCAGGUGCAUGCAGUGCACCUGAAUGACUGCAAGGGGUAGAGCCAGGAGCCACCCCUUCCCAGUCCUCAUUUAAGGGUUGGCAAUGGAAGCAAGGGUAUCUUGCUGGGAAUUCCUGCCUAUGUGAGGCCUUCCAAAGGUAAGCAAAAGUUCUUCCUUCAUUUCUGUACCUACAGCUGCUGCAUUUGGGCUUGUCCUCAUUGGCUGCAGCCUAGGACUUUGCCACCUUGCCGUUAUUCCUGUGUUUUCUGUCACGUUAUAGCAUUACAGCUCCUUUGCCCUAGAUAUUGCCAGCAGCAACGCUGGCUUCAGUGAUAUUCCUCCCUGUUCAUCUGUGCCCUUGCACAAUCCAUGGGUUGCCUGAAGGCCUCUGCAGAGAAAUGACAGAAAAAUAGCACUUUUGUUGUUGUUGACUAAUUAUUAUUCAAUGGGAUUGGUUUGAGCUAAAUUAAAGUAUGGACUGGGGGCUGCUGAGCAGCUCACAGAAAAUGGUGUGGCCAUGUGUGCACUCCCAAUGCAAUCAGGGAGCUGAGCUCAACCAUUGCAUUUUGCAUAGGAGCUCACCUGGAGCUCUUAAAGGAUCGUUUGGUGAUGUAGUAUCUAAUAACAACACCUUUUGCAGCUGUAGUCAUUUCUGAACUGAACCUGUGGCUAACCCUAAAACACUGCCAACUCAAAACACUGAGCAUAUUCUGAGUAAGGAAAGACUUAAGAUUUUUUUUGUCUCCUGUUCUAAGAGCAUUUCAGACUGAGGGGAAAUUAAAAAUAAAUAAAAACACCCCCCAAACCCACACUUAAAGAAACUACAUUGGUAGAUGAAGAUCCUGAAAGUUUUUUAAAUGAGUAACGCUAUGUUCUGUAAGAUGUUAUAUUUUUACCUGAAAAUGCUUUUAUAUGUUGAUGUAAAAUAGACUGAUUUUGGAUUUAUUACUCUAAUACAAGGCAUAACAAACUCAAUACCAUAGAAUCAUAGAAUGGCCUGGGUUGAAAAGGACCACAGUAAUCAUCUAAGUUUCAACCCCCCUGCUAUUCAACCCCCACCCUUUCAAAGAGUUGACUCCCCUCCUUUUUAUAGGCUCCCUUUAGGUACUGGAAGGCUGCAACGAGGUCACCCCACAGCCUUCUUUUCUCCAGGCUGAACAAGCCCAGCUCCCUCAGCCUGUCUUCAGAGAGGAGGUGCUCCAGCCCCCUGAUCAUCUUUGUGGCCCUCCUCUGAACCCUCUUCAACAGCUCUCUGUCUUUCUUGUAUUGGGGGCUUCAGACCUGG